UGGGGAAUUUUGGACAAUGGGCGCAAGCCUGAUCCAGCAAUGCCGCGUGCAGGAUGAAGGCCUUCGGGUUGUAAACUGCUUUUGUACGGAACGAAAAAGCUCUCUCUAAUACAGGGGGUGAAUGACGGUACCGUAAGAAUAAGCACCGGCUAACUACGUGCCAGCAGCCGCGGUAAUACGUAGGGUGCAAGCGUUAAUCGGAAUUACUGGGCGUAAAGCGUGCGCAGGCGGUUUUGUAAGACAGAGGUGAAAUCCCCGGGCUCAACCUGGGAACUGCCUUUGUGACUGCAAAGCUGGAGUGCGGCAGAGGGGGAUGGAAUUCCGCGUGUAGCAGCGAAAUGCGUAGAUAUGCGGAGGAACACCGAUGGCGAAGGCAAUCCCCUGGGCCUGCACUGACGCUCAUGCACGAAAGCGUGGGGAGCAAAC
rnacentral:rRNA from 1 species